rfam:Flavobacterium sp. LPB0076 LPBF17, whole genome shotgun sequence.
UUCUAGCCCAGAUAGAAGUGGAAAUCCUUUUGUUGUUUUUCUUUAAAACAACAAAAGAUUGUAACGAAUAGCUGGAAAUAGC